UACAGAGGUCUCAAGCGUUGUUCGGAUUCACUGGGCGUAAAGGGCUCGUAGGCUGCCAACUAAGUCGGACGUGAAAUCCCUCGGCUUAACCGGGGAACUGCGUCCGAUACUGGAUGGCUUGAGUUUGGGAGAGGGAUGCGGAAUUCCAGGUGUAGCGGUGAAAUGCGUAGAUAUCUGGAGGAACACCGGUGGCGAAGGCGGCAUCCUGGACCAACACUGACGCUGAUGAGCGAAAGCCAGGGGGAGCAAA
rnacentral:rRNA from 1 species